rnacentral:lncRNA from 1 species
CAGAGGCAUUGGCAGAAGAAAUAAAUGAGUACCUAUCAUGGGUCCAAGAAGCGGGUGUACUCUGCUGAUGUUAUUAACAUUAGGAGGAUAAAGCCCACUCACAUGUUCCCUACCCCAGGUCCUAGACCUCAGGGUCCCUCCUGAGGGCUCCAGAGAAGCCAGGUAAAAAGCCCCUCAUUGGGGCUCCUGGCAGAAUAGAAAAAUACAAAGAGGAACACUCCUGGAAAGGGAGAUGUGUCCUCAUUCAUCAUUGGGAGAGUUGGCUUCAGCUGUGCUGACCCACCUAGGAAAGCUAUGUGUGUGGGGGAAAGGGAUACCAUUUAUUCAGACCUGGACUGUGUGAGGCUGGCUGUAGGCUUUUGUGACAUCGAGUAUCUGAACUGGAGGGCUGUUCAGCAAAACUGAAGCCUUCCUUCCUGGGUUCUGAAGGCUCUCACCCCUAAUUAUGCAUCCCACUGAGGCUUGGACCCUUCCUCCAUCUAGAAGAAACAGUGAGCUAUACUGUCCAGUUUGGCACCUGCUCUUCUCUAAAUAGAGGGAAGAUCUGACAUUCCAGGGAAGAGGAACCAAGCCUUCUGUCUUUCCCAGGGUUAGGAUGAACCUGGGUGUCAGUCUGAUUCUGAAAGGGUUGGUAUGAGGACCUUGGGGCCUGGAAGAGGCAAGAAAUGGCCCAUCUCUUCCUGCCUGCCUCCCACCCCCCACCUUGUACCUGACAUCGCUGCAGGAAUGUUGCUGGAGGUUGGGGCUUGGCUGCAA